rnacentral:rRNA from 1 species
AUGACAAUUUUCGAAACUGUCAUCCAAAAUCCGUCAUGCAUUAACAAGUUUCUUGUAGUGUGGCCCAGGUCGGCGUCGUCCGGCGCGGGCCAUGGCCCUGCUUCAAAGUGUGCCUGCGCACCGGCCACCCACGCUAGGUCCUUCAAGUGCCGCUUCCACCGCACCAACUCCCAGAGCCACGGCCAUGGCCAAGGCUAGGGAAGCCGCCCUUCUUUGCCCCCUUCACCGGUCACAGCCAACGCGGUGUCGCGGCACCCGGUCUCGCCGUCCUCGUCCUCCGGCAUAGUCGCGACCCAGUGA